rnacentral:misc_RNA from 1 species
AAUUUUUUGUGUCCAAAUUUUAAAAAAAUUUUAGAGAAUAAAAAAAUCUGUACAGAAAUGUAUUAGUACUAGAUAACUUUCAAUUUAAUAAUUUACAAAGCGUUUGGCUUCAUCUUUUGAGUAUUUAUUUGGCAUAAUUUGUACCUUUACGUAAUUUUUCGUUUAUUCCAUCAUCAUUUUAAAAAUAUUUCUCGUAAUAUCAAUUUUCUUUUUCUUUUUCAUCAUUGCGUAAGAAGCCUGAGAAUACUAUCGCUACUAAAGGAAUAAAAUAUAUUUUCCAUAUAUUAGACAAAAUAUUCAGUUAAUUAAUUCGUUUAUACAUAUGUCGGUAUAAGUAUAAGCAAUUUUAUUUAGAAUUGUUAAAAUUUUGGUAUAAAAA